UCCUCAGGCGGUGACUGUGAUUUAGGUC
rnacentral:piRNA from 1 species